CACCAUCUGUAUAUAACCAGCAGCAGAACUCUUCUCUAUUGUGUGAGUUAAACUCUCUCUCCUCUCAUCACAUCUACUGUAUAUAAACCAGCAGCAGAUCUCUCAGAUCCACAGAGGAUAUGUCUCUCUCUUCAGAUCUUCACAAGGUAUAAAUGUGAUGUAGACAAAAACAAAAACACACAGAGAAAUCUGCUGGAGCAUCAGGAACCACCACAAAGCACCAGGACAGAGAGAGAAAUGGAGGACAGGAAUGAAACAGAAAUGACUGGAUCACAAGAGAAAAGCAGAGAGAUACUUGGGAGAUGGAACAGUAUGGAGACACUAAAGCCAGAUUUCUCACGUGAUCCAGACGGACCUGUGAUGUUCAUUCAGAUGUUAUUCAGAGAACACAACAUCACAGAGACCAGACACCAGCAUCAUCAUCAUCAUCUUCAUCAUCAUCAGAAUACAGUCUGAUCAGUUCCUGGACUCUUUUCACACUCAUCUGAUCACAACCAAUGGUUCAGUUUAUUUCAUCUGUACUGUGUACACACACAUAAUUCUGAAUGAAUAUGAUACAGUUUUACAGUAAUCUAACAUAUCAUCAGCUUUUUACUGUAUUUAUUUUUAAUCUUUGGGCUAUGCCCUUUUAUUUUUAUUUUUUUUUCUGGUUUAUACAGUAUUUGUUUAUUUUACAUCAUUGAUAUGAAUGUUUGUUUUCUAUUGUGUGUUUGUUGUGCUAAGCUGCACAUUCGGUCAUGGAAAAGAGACACCUAAAAUGUUUAUUUUGUAGCUACUUUUUCAAAGUUGAUCAGUUUUUUCCUCGGGGCUCAUGACUGCAUGGUUCGGGGUGAAGUGUUUUCCUGUAAUUUGGGAUGGUUUGACCCUCGAGUGUAAAAGGGGCGUACUUGACCUCUCAGCAGUUAGUUCUGGUUUGGGUCUCUGUGAGGAUGAUCAACUUUAAUGUCACCAGUAGUUGUGAGUCAAUAAACUCUCUUUUUGACUGGA